CACCUCAGAGACACCCUAAUUGGUCGGGGUGUCAGGCUUGCUCACCCUCCUCCAUGACGCCUGCCCGGUGGGCAUACAUCAGCUCAGGAUUAACGGCAGGCGGAGGUCAGCACAUAAUCACCCCCAAUGAAUAUGGAGGAGGGCCUUUGGGUUUACAUGGGAGGACUGCCAAAAAUGAUAACGACCCCUCCUCCAGUACCUCCUCGGGGAACCGUAUACGCUCUCCUCUUCAAGGUUGUAACUAAAACAGAGGCAGUGCCUUAUGGGGGAGGGUGGCGUUGAAGCUCUUUGCCUCUUCAGACACGAGCUAAUGUGAUAUAUACAAAAAAGCCUUGGGUAUGUGCUGAAAUGUGAUCUGUGUUAACAUCACCUGCAAGUCAAAGCUUAAACAUCAAUUUAUGACACUGUUAAGGCUUGAACUGCCACAAAAUAUAGAUUUUUAUAAAUUAAAGCAAAGAUCCAAACCUUAUUCAUACCUCUUUACACAUAAUUAAUUUGUGCUGGCUGUUUUAUUUUGCUUUCCAUGCAACCAAAGAGUAAUUAAUAUCAUUUCCCAGUUACUCUCAUUAACAUAACAUUAAUCUUGCAUAAGAAAUAAGUGAGCAGUUUAAUCCACAAACACGAUAAAAUAACUCAUAUCAAGUAUCCAGAUUAAACACUCACUAAAUGUGGCAUUGGAAAGUAUAUGGCUUGCUAUUCAGAUGUAACUGUGCUUGCCAGACUGUCCUGUAAAAACGACUCUCUAGGUCGUCUGUAUAGCAGCUUAUGAGCAAUAAAGUUACAAUUGAAUCGUCGAGUUUUAUUUAUGUUAUAAACGGUUAUACUUAUGAUAAUUUUGUCAGUCUUUUUGUUUCACCUGCUCCCACCCAUUAAAAAAAAAUAACAUUAACAGACGUUUUGCAGUGCAUUUUUAGGAACUGUGGGAAGUAUCCAUCCUCGAGCCGCCAUGUUGUGUUAGAAGUUAUCGCUCCGUGUGAUGACGCUCAAAAAAGAUUGCUGCUGCUCUCCUCAGUGGUGGAACAAGCUACAGACUCUCCACACCCCUCCACAGCUUAUUCACUUCCCACUGAGGUCAAACGUGUGGUGGCGUUAUAUGACAGAGACACAAGGUGUCCCUGCUACAGACUGCAACCAACAUCUCCCCAAGCUGAGAGGCAAGUGAUCUAUCCAUUGUUUUCCUAAAAAAUUCCAUAUCUGCAAGUUUAAAUAAUAUAUUAUUAGACAGUUUUCUUGGCGCAGGUGAAAGAUGACUGUUGAGAAUUGUAUAUGAUGCAGGUAUGUCUUAGAUCAGUGUUUUACGCCUGUAGAAAUAGUGGCUUGUAGACAGGAAAAAAAGCUCGACAAAUGAAAGUGCUCGAGUGGAACCUGAGAGAAAAGAAAGGUGCACUGUUAGAUGACUGAACAAUAACCUCUGCUCACAUCGCCUCUGGGCAGGAGGACCUGGCGUACGAUUACAACUCCUAAAAAACACAAAGCAGAGGCAGAGAUAGGGGUGUAUUUUCCAUCUCCUUCAGCUCCAGGUGUUACCUGCACUGUAGCAAGCAGCUGAAUGUCUGAUUCAGCCCUUACGUUGCUGCACCGGCCGUUAGACACUGUCUGCUCCGGGUCCCUGGGACCACACGGGCUUGUUUGCCACAUUCCUCUGGCAGCCAGGUCAGGUUUGAUUGACACCUGUGGUCAGUGAGUCACAGGUACAGGCCCAGUCUCAACCACCAAACCCCCUACCAGCAACCAGCAGCACUCACAAAGACAGCCUCUCAGGGAGGCCCUGUGAUGAACUGGUGACCUGUCCAGGAUGUACUCUCUGCCUUUCACCCGAUGUCAGCUGAGAUUGGUUCCAGCCCCACAACGUCCCUCAAAGGAUAACAUGAAGGCUAACAGUCCUACAAAACAGGAACAGUGCGCCUUUAUUUCUGUGUCUGCUACGCUGAUCAUUGACUGGUGAGGAUGCUCGCUUUUUGUCUGGGACUAAGAGGCAUUAAAACGUCAGCCAAAGAGUUGUUCUCAGUGAUGAAAGAGGUAUUCAGACUAAAAAAUAAAUACACACUCCAUUAUAAGUUAAAAGUUGUUGUGCACAACAUGCAGGAUUUUUAGUCACACACAGACAAACCGAGGUAGGCGAGGAGUGGCGUGUCAGCACCACUUAGUCAACACUCAUCUGUCCACCACCCUCUUCAUCCUGUGGGGAGGUGGAGGUGGAGGUGGAGGUGGAGAGUGGUGGGGGGGUAGUGUUGGUUGGCUGAUGCAGGCAACCUGUCUUCCCACACAGGCCAUCAAGUCUCUGACACACCGUGAAGCCUCAGGGGGGGAUCAAACACAAAAGCACUCCCGCUCAUCAACAAGGCCACUGUUCCCAAGAAUCUGAUCAUGUUUUUGUGUAAACACCCUGAAAGCCUCUCCUUUAAUUACAUAUAAAAAGCCAGAGAUUAGUGCGCUGACAGUUACCUCAAUGGAGCUAAUUGUGAGUCAUUUCAUAGAGCAGCAGAGUUGAAAAUGACUGCGCUGGCUUGUGGCCCAAAUCUGUCCAUUAAAGACAGCUCUGAACUGGUCUCAGUAAUGGAGGAAUAACCUGGCACUGAUGUUAGAAAAUGAGCUGGACUCCACAUUCAGUUACAUUAUGGCCAAAGAAAGCAAAACCACACCUUUGGGUGAUUUAAAACUCCAACCUAGGACAUUAUUUUAUCAAUGAAACUCAAAUUGUUUGUCCAAGUGGGAACGGUAAAGCUUGAUUAGAUUAGAAAUGUGUUAAUCAUUACAUUGUUUUUAAAGAUUGCCCUGAAGUCUUGUGAAUUUGAGCCACUGUAAAGGCUGGGAAUAAGUGGUCAUAAUUCCAGUCGUUGCAUGCAGUAGAGUAACAGCACAAACUUACUUUCAUUUAAUUUCAGUGUCAAUUUUCUCUCCACCUCAACCCGCCAUUCCUUUGAAUUAUAGCGGCCUGGAGUUGACACACUCACAAUAAAGCACAUUUUUUACAGCAGACACACUUGUAAGCUUCCCUGUUA